rnacentral:lncRNA from 1 species
CUCAUUUCUCUCAUUGAGCUAUAAGCAGAUCAGCUAUUCUCAGAAUUGUAAUGAGUUAUUAUUUGCAUUCCUCCUGCAACCUUCAUUUUCAUUUCUCUGUCGCUUGUUUUUUUACAAUAUGAUCAGCAUAUUGAGAUAAAUCCGAGCGAGAGCGUUGGGGGCGACGAACACAUCAUCAUGGAUAAUGCCCAGGUAGGCAAGGCAAGAAAAAAAGAUUUGUUUUCUUCAUUGCGACUAUGACGCCUGCGGCGGGGGUUGACGAAGAGGUAAUACGUGAAUGGUGAGAAGGCAGUGACUGCGAUGUCCCCCCUUUCUGCUCCCCAACCUGCCUUCCUCACCCAUUCGUUCGUCGCAGAAAGAUAUUCCGUCUGAACGGCGACAGAAUUUUUCAUUAACAUAAUCCAUUUUAUAGACCCAUAAUCUAUAUUUUUUCAAUCAUCUUCCGUAAUCAUCAUGUCCGAAAGAUUGAAAUAUUUUUCAUCAGACGCAGUCUUAUAUCAUUAUUCUCAUGAACCUAGCUCAUCCUUAAUCCUACGCAUUGUCCCGAUGUUAGCGAGAGAGAGAGAGAGAGAGAGAGAGAGAGAGAGAGAGAGAGAG